GGUGAAUGCAAUACCGUGCAUCUAUACUGCUCCACACUGUUCCCUUGAGUCCUGUCAUUGCCACCAGAGAACUGAAAUCUGUGCUGCCACCAUGCUCCCCUAGUGAGGACGUGUAGGCCACAAGAUAACAGCAAGCACAGUAAAUAUUGUGUUAUAUGAAAAUGAUUGCUAGCAGAGAGGCUGUUUGUUACAAGCCAUUCUUCCCAAUACAAAAUGGACUGCUUUCUAUUAGUACAGAUUACUGCCACUGAAACAUGAAAGACUGGAAGGAGUAGGAGAAGACCAGUAGAAAUACUGAAAAGAAAGAGAAAGGAGGAAUGAAAGAAAGUCAAGAGAGAGGUACAUUAAAAA